ensembl:snRNA U6 U6 spliceosomal RNA
GUGCUCACUUUGGCAGCACACAUGCUAAAAUCGGGACAAUACAGAGAAGAUCAGCAUGGCCCUCUGUGCAGAUGACAUGCAGACUCAGGAAGCAUCCCUAAUUUAU